rnacentral:lncRNA from 1 species
UUUCAAAUUCAAUUUAGUCAAUAAAUGGUGUUGAAACUGGAAGGAAGAGAUUGACAUAUUUGACUGACGAUAAAUUUCAACUCAUCUCCGUGGUCAAAGACACCACAAAUAACUUGGAGAAAAUAUUGACAACAUACACAAGAGGCAAAUAAUCAUUUCUAUAGUACAUUACAAAUGCCCAGAAAUGAAUGUGGGGUGGAGAUAUGAGCAGAUAGUAGACAGAAUAAAAGAUAUAAAUGGUCAAUAAACAUAUGAAAAAAUAACCAACUUUAUUAUUAAUUGGCAAAGUAAAAAUAGAAAAAAUGUUUGAUACGUAGGGAGAAGUCAUAUAAUCAUUGUAAUUACUUGUAUAAUUAUAAUACAUUAACAUUAUUAAAAAGUAAUUUAAAAUACAAAAAUUAAGAAAAUCAGUAAAGGCUAAGACUCCUCUAGCUUCACCAUUUCUUAGUGCAUGAUCCAUAUGCUUAGUCUCAAGAUGGCUGCCCUGGCCCAGGCAUUACAUCUGUGUUCCAGGCAUAGUAAAGGGAAGAAUGGCAAAAGAAAACUAGUGCAUGCCAGGUGAGUCUGACCCUGCUCGUCAGUCAAAAAACAGCUUUCCCAUCGGCCUCAGCACCAAGAAUUGUACUUAAAUCUUAUUGGCAAAACAGUGUCACAGGUUACCCCUAACUGUUAGGGAAUCUGAGGAGUGUAUUUUUAAAAUGGGC